rnacentral:rRNA from 1 species
GACGAACGCUGGCGGCGUGCUUAACACAUGCAAGUCGAACGGUAAGGCCCUUCGGGGUACACGAGUGGCGAACGGGUGAGUAACACGUGGGUGAUCUGCCCUGCACUUCGGGAUAAGCCUGGGAAACUGGGUCUAAUACCGGAUAGGACCACUGCCUGCAUGGGUGGCGGUGGAAAGCUUUUGCGGUGUGGGAUGGGCCCGCGGCCUAUCAGCUUGUUGGUGGGGUGAUGGCCUACCAAGGCGACGACGGGUAGCCGGCCUGAGAGGGGGACCGGCCACACUGGGCCUGAGAUACGGCCCAGACUCCUACGGGAGGAAGCAGUGGGGAAUAUUGCACAAUGGGCGCAAGCCUGAUGCAGCGACGCCGCGUGAGGGAUGACGGCCUUCGGGUUGUAAACCUCUUUCAGCUAUGACGAAGCGCAAGUGACGGUAGUAGCAGAAGAAGGACCGGCCAACUACGUGCCAGCCGCCGCAGUAA